UAAAAAGUAAGCGUAGAACGUGGGCACACCCAUCCUCGUUAUCAUUUCAUAAUAUAUCGGAAAGCUACUCUAGUCACUACCUACUGCACCUUCCACUGUUCGAGUAAUACCUACAGGUCACUAUCUGGCUUCGCUACAUGCAACAAAGUUAGGAAUCGCCAACUGUGACAGUUCCAGGCAAUGUGAUGAACCUGAGGUCAUCGAAACCCUGGAACAUCUGAUCUGCAACUGCCCAGCUCUUUUAUUGGAAAGGAGGAAAUACCUGGGCGCCCAGGUGCUGGCAUCGCUGGAAGAUGCCUCCAAGAGGACGCAACAGCAACUACUCGCCUAUGCAAAAACACUUGUGUUCUCGAGGACUUUAAAAUCACAUGCGUGUCCCCGUUGAGGGCCGUGCUUGGAUUUAUAAAGAGUACAUUAAAACAUACGCUGCAAACCCUGACUGGCUUAUUUAUUCCGAAUUUAAUAAUAGGCACAUCGUUGCUGGAACACUUGGAGCACAAGACGCGUCCACAAUGCCGACUUAAAAAAAAAAUCGAAUG
rnacentral:sRNA from 1 species